GACCUGAUGGCACAGUUGGUUAGUGCAUCUGUUGUUGGUGGUCUAUUAGUUGUACACAUUUCAAGCAGAAGGCCCCGGUUUGAAUCCGGGUCAGGUCA